rnacentral:rRNA from 1 species
GAUGAACGCUGGCGGCGUGCCUAAUACAUGCAAGUCGAGCGAACAGACGAGGAGCUUGCUCCUCUGACGUUAGCGGCGGACGGGUGAGUAACACGUGGAUAACCUACCUAUAAGACUGGGAUAACUUCGGGAAACCGGAGCUAAUACCGGAUAAUAUAUUGAACCGCAUGGUUCAAUAGUGAAAGACGGUUUUGCUGUCACUUAUAGAUGGAUCCGCGCCGCAUUAGCUAGUUGGUAAGGUAACGGCUUACCAAGGCAACGAUGCGUAGCCGACCUGAGAGGGUGAUAGGCCACACUGGAACUGAGACACGGUCCAGACUCCUACGGGAGGCAGCAGUAGGGAAUCUUCCGCAAUGGGCGAAAGCCUGACGGAGCAACGCCGCGUGAGUGAUGAAGGUCUUCGGAUCGUAAAACUCUGUCAUUAGGGAAGAACAAAUGUGUAAGUAACUAUGCACGUCUUGACGGUACCUAAUCAGAAAGCCACGGCUAACUACGUG